rnacentral:rRNA from 1 species
GAUGAACGCUGGCGGCGUGCCUAAUACAUGCAAGUCGAGCGAACAGACGAGGAGCUUGCUCCUCUGACGUUAGCGGCGGACGGGUGAGUAACACGUGGAUAACCUACCUAUAAGACUGGGAUAACUUCGGGAAACCGGAGCUAAUACCGGAUAAUAUAUUGAACCGGAUGGUUCAAUAGUGAAAGACGGUUUUGCUGUAACUUAUAGAUGGAUCUGCGCCGCAUUAGCUCGUUGGUAAGGUAACGGCUUCCCACGGCGACGCUGCGUAGCCGACCUGAGAGGGUGAUCGGCCACACUGGAACUGAGACACGGUCCAGACUCCUACGGGAGGCAGCAUUAGGGAAUCUUCCGCAAUGGGCGAAAGCCUGACGGAGCAACGCCGCGUGAGUGAUGAAGGUCUUCGGAUCGUAAAACUCUGUUAUUAGGGAAGAACAAAUGUGUAAGUAACUAUGCACGUCUUGACGGUACCUAAUCAGAAAGCCACGGCUAACUACGUG